rnacentral:rRNA from 1 species
CUGUCUCAGUUCGGAUUGGAGUCUGCAACCCGACUCCAUGAAGCUGGAUUCGCUAGUAAUCGCGCAUCAGCCACGGCGCGGUGAAUACGUUCCCGGGCCUUGUACACACCGCCCGUCAAGCCAUGGAAGCCGGGGGUGCCUGAAGUGCGCUGCCGCAAGGAGCGCCCUAGGGUAAAACCGGUGACUGGGGCUAAGUCGUAACAAGGUAAC